GUAUUCAUUAUGAAUUUUUGACAUUCAAGACAAAUGAAGGGCGUAUAAAAAUGAAAGCGUGGGUUAACACGACUUCCAGUAAGAAAGGGGCCAAUGCACAAUACGUUCAAGGGUGAAAGGGUAGAAGAGCAAGAAGGGAUGCGACGAUUAAGUCAGCAGGCCAACUCGCAUUCUCUCUAAUGAUCCUUCCGCAGGUUCACCUACGGAAA
rnacentral:misc_RNA from 1 species